rnacentral:tRNA from 13 species
UAGCUCAGCUGGAUAGAGUACUCGGCUACGAACCGAGCGGUCGGAGGUUCGAAUCCUC